AGCUGUGAUCCAGUCAAAUCUCAGCUGGCAACUGUGAGUUUGGAGCACCUCACAGCGCUAGCUGAGGUUCGCCUGAAUGCAGCA
rnacentral:pre_miRNA from 12 species